ensembl:lncRNA
AAUUUGUUGAAUAAACCUUCAACAAACCCAGAAUGUUGAUUCUGUUUAUCUGGACUUUGUGUUUGCAGUUUUAAUUUUAACCAUGAACAAAAUGUGGUUUAGCUUUUCCUGUCAUGACGUCUGUACUUCCUGUUCAAAGCAGCUCACAGAGAGACAGAGAAACUGAAGCGACAGCAGCAUCAGAACACAGAGGACCAACAUUUACUUAUGAUUUACUGCAGAAUCAGAAUCAGCUUCACAUAGAAAAGCUGCAGUUAACAGAGAAAUACAGCGACUGAGUGACAGCUCUGCUGUACAGGAAACUGAUACUGCUGAAAACUGAGCAUCUGAAAAUGUCUUCCAUCAUUGAUGAGGAUCCAGAGCUGAGCAUGAAUGUGAAAUACAGCAAAGGAGAGGACAGAGGAGAGAGACUGGAGGGACGGGUCCUCCUCCAUGAGAAUGUGGACUCCUGCACAGACCAUCAGGUCCAUGUUUCAACACAGGACGGAGAAAUAAAAACCCAGAAGAAGCUUCCAGCUGUGAAAAGAAACCGUUUCAGAGCUCUUGAAGUGAACCUGGUGGUUCUGUAUCUGCUGAUUCUGGCUGGAAUCACAACACGCUGUGAGGAGCUUUAUUAUCAUGCUCAUGAUACACUCCCAUGUUAAAAUGAGCACCUUUCCAGCAUUAAAAACAUGUUUGCAUUCAGGACUAAAUGAGUUUUGGUCUGUAAGGAUAGUUUCCCUCUUCAUAAAAACUGUACGGUGGCAUUUUAAAUUCUCUGAUCAAUAAUAUGAGCUGCUGUGUGGUACAGCCUGACCAACAAGUUGGUUUGGCUGACUGAGCUUCUAGUAUUUCAUGAGUCUGUUACUUAGCACUGAUUAGCAGGUGUGUGUAUGUGUGCAUGAUUCCUGGCUCAUAUCUUGUGUGUGUUGUGGAGGUGGAGUGAAUGUUCUUGUUGUUCCUUCAAACUCUUCACUCAACACUUCUGUGAUUAUAGCAACAAAGCAGACAGGCAGCAGCAUCUGCUGCAGACUGAUGCAGGUGCAGUCACACUACGUUAGACAGUGGCUGUCUGUCAUUAUGUCGACUAGUUAGUUCACUUGGUGUAUUAAGCAGCUAGCUAACAAGCUAAUGUUAGUUUCAUUCAUCUCAUAGGAAAAUGAAAAACUUUAUUUAAAUCAUUUUAAAAAUCUUUGGUUUUGUAGAUAUUUUGGUGAGUUUGGAAAAAGAGCAGCUGAAGGAGAAGAUAGAAGGUAAGAAACUAUUAAAAACUGUUAAAGUUGGAGAUAGAUUUGAAAGGAAACUGAUUUUACAGUUUGAAUCAGCUUUUUGUGAUUAAGAUAAUCUGAUAAAAAAAAACAAAGCAAAUUACAGCAGCUGACCUCCCAAACUAACAUAAACAGGAGAAAGUGUUCACAGUCAAAGGCAGCUCAGCCCUACAAACUCCUUCAGAGUGAAACAGGAAACACACAGUCAGAGCUGCACAGGUGUGGCAGGUUGGAACAAGGAAACGCUGAAUGAGUCCUCUGCAGACGGCGGCCAUCUUGGCUCUUUAUGUAAUCAUUAGGCUGCAUGUUGGUGCACCAAUCACAGCAGAGUACCUGCACAUGCCCGUUAUCAUCCUCUCAUUCAGUCACAGCUGAGGCAAAGCAUGCAGAGCUUUUCAUGAAGGACAGAAAAACACAGCAGUUACACAAAAUGACACAAAUAUGAUGACAGUCAUAACAACAGGUCAAAGUUCAGUCUGUUACUGUAUCAUAGACACUUAUGCUGUGUGUGCUAUAACAAUUUUCUAACUCAUAUAGAUAUAUAUGUGAGAAUACAGAGUAAAAAGAUAAUUUCUGUUCAGUGUUUCGCUCUUUCACUCUCACUCUUUAUUUUACAUUUCAGCUGCUUUGAACAAGAAUGAAUACAACAAACUUCAGACCAAAUACAACAAACUGAACCACAGUUACAAUCAGCUACAGACUGAAGUUCAUGGUAAGCAAGCAAAUACUGAGUAUAUCAAUAUAAGUUCUAAUAUGAUAGCUAUAUUCUUUGAAUAUUUUAACUUUAUUUUAAUCUGUUUUUCUCUAUAGACACAGAAACCAGCCUGACUCAGUUACAGAGCAGUUAUGAUAAACUGAGUAAAAACCACAGUGAGCUACAGGAACAAUUCAGGAAGAUGAAACAAGGUAAUAAAGUUUGAAUAACUAAUAGAAAACAUCAGUAUUACACAGUGAUAACCUGACUGUGUCUUUAUUUUGAAGUCUUUUCUUUUCCUGUUCCAUUCAGCACUGUAACAAUCAGAGUUAUUGCCUGAAAACCAAGAAAAAUACCCAACAGAUUUUUAUUUUCCCAAGUGGAUCAUUA